rnacentral:rRNA from 1 species
UACGGGGGGGCAAGCGUUGUCCGGAAUUAUUGGGCGUAAAGAGCUCGUAGGCGGUUCGGCAAGUCGGAUGUGAAAUCUCCACGCUUAACGUGGAGGGGCCAUUCGAAACUGCCGUGACUCGAGUCCGGUAGGGGAGUGCGGAAUUCCCGGUGUAGCGGUGAAAUGCGCAGAUAUCGGGAGGAACACCAGUGGCGAAGGCGGCACUCUGGGCCGGAACUGACGCUGAGGAGCGAAAGCGUGGGGAGCGAACAGG